GCCUGGGUGGCACAGCGGUUGAGCGUCUGCCUUCGGCUCAGGGCGUGAUCCCGGUGUUGUGGGAUCGAGCCCCACAUCAGGCU
rfam:Ailuropoda melanoleuca scaffold1346_83, whole genome shotgun sequence.